rnacentral:rRNA from 1 species
GACGUAGGGCGCGAGCGUUGUCCGGAUUUAUUGGGCGUAAAGAGCUCGUAGGCGGCUUGUCGCGUCGUCCGUGAAAACUUGGGGCUCAACCCCCAAGCUUGCGGUCGAUACGGGCAGGCUAGAGUUCGGUAGGGGAGACUGGAAUUCCUGGUGUAGCAGUGAAAUGCGCAGAUAUCAGGAGGAACACCGGUGGCGAAGGCGGGUCUCUGGGCCGUAACUGACGCUGAGGAGCGAAAGCAUGGGGAGCGAACAGG